rnacentral:rRNA from 1 species
GAUGAACGCUGGCGGCGUGCCUAAUACAUGCAAGUCGAGCGAACAGACGAGGAGCUUGCUCCUUUGACGUUAGCGGCGGACGGGUGAGUAACACGUGGGUAACCUACCUAUAAGACUGGGAUAACUUCGGGAAACCGAAGCUAAUACCGGAUAAUAUUUCGAACCGCAUGGUUCGAUAGUGAAAGAUGGCUUUGCUAUCACUUAUAGAUGGACCUGCGCCGUAUUAGCUAGUUGGUAAGGUAACGGCUUACCAAGGCAACGAUACGUAGCCGACCUGAGAGGGUGAUCGGCCACACUGGAACUGAGACACGGUCCAGACUCCUACGGGAGGCAGCAGUAGGGAAUCUUCCGCAAUGGGCGAAAGCCUGACGGAGCAACGCCGCGUGAGUGAUGAAGGUCUUCGGAUCGUAAAACUCUGUUAUCAGGGAAGAACAAAUGUGUAAGUAACUGUGCACAUCUUGACGGUACCUGAUCAGAAAGCCACGGCUAACUACGUGCCAGCAGCCGCGGUAAUACGUAGGUGGCAAGCGUUAUCCGGAAUUAUUGGGCGUAAAGCGCGCGUAGGCGGUUUUUUAAGUCUGAUGUGAAAGCCCACGGCUCAACCGUGGAGGGUCAUUGGAAACUGGAAAACUUGAGUGCAGAAGAGGAAAGUGGAAUUCCAUGUGUAGCGGUGAAAUGCGCAGAGAUAUGGAGGAACACCAGUGGCGAAGGCGACUUUCUGGUCUGUAACUGACGCUGAUGUGCGAAAGCGUGGGGAUCAAACAGGAUUAGAUACCCUGGUAGUCCACGCCGUAAACGAUGAGUGCUAAGUGUUAGGGGGUUUCCGCCCCUUAGUGCUGCAGCUAACGCAUUAAGCACUCCGCCUGGGGAGUACGACCGCAAGGUUGAAACUCAAAGGAAUUGACGGGGACCCGCACAAGCGGUGGAGCAUGUGGUUUAAUUCGAAGCAACGCGAAGAACCUUACCAAAUCUUGACAUCCUUUGACCGCUCUAGAGAUAGAGUCUUCCCCUUCGGGGGACAAAGUGACAGGUGGUGCAUGGUUGUCGUCAGCUCGUGUCGUGAGAUGUUGGGUUAAGUCCCGCAACGAGCGCAACCCUUAAGCUUAGUUGCCAUCAUUAAGUUGGGCACUCUAAGUUGACUGCCGGUGACAAACCGGAGGAAGGUGGGGAUGACGUCAAAUCAUCAUGCCCCUUAUGAUUUGGGCUACACACGUGCUACAAUGGACAAUACAAAGGGCAGCUAAACCGCGAGGUCAAGCAAAUCCCAUAAAGUUGUUCUCAGUUCGGAUUGUAGUCUGCAACUCGACUACAUGAAGCUGGAAUCGCUAGUAAUCGUAGAUCAGCAUGCUACGGUGAAUACGUUCCCGGGUCU